rnacentral:rRNA from 1 species
UUUAAAUGGCCGCAGUAUAUUAACUGUGCAAAGGUAGCAUAAUCAUUAGUCUUUUAAUUGGAGGCUGGUAUGAAUGGUUGGACGAGAUAUUAACUGUUUCAUAAAAAUUUAUAUUAGAAUUUUAUUUUUUAGUCAAAAAGCUAAAAUAAAUUUAAAAGACGAGAAGACCCUAUAAAUCUUUAUAUUUAAAUUAUUAUAAUUUUUUAGUUUUAUUUUAUUAUAAUUAUUAAUAAUAUUUUAUUGGGGUGAUAUUAAAAUUUAAUAAACUUUUAAUUAUUUUAAUCAUUAAUUUAUGAAUAAAUGAUCCGUUAUUAUAACGAUUAAAAAUUUAAGUUACUUUAGGGAUAACAGCGUAAUUUUUUUGGAGAGUUCAUAUUAAUAAAAAAGAUUGCGACCUCGAUGUUGGAUUAAGAUAAAAUUUUAGGUGCAGUCGCUUAAAUUUAAAGUCUGUUCGACUUU